UGUAACUUUGGGAGCCACCAACUGGCACACAUUUAUAACUUGGGAAUAUUCUGUCCACUGUACCUGCAUCUAUGUAACAUGUUAUGGAAGAUGGCAGGAACAGUAAGAGUAUAUGAUUAAAAGAUUAAUUUAUCGACCUGUAAGCACUUGGCCAAGAAAUCUGAGAGAAUCCGAAGUACAGGAGCAACAACGUGGAGUAGAAAUGAGGCCACUGGAUCACAUUUCUUUCUUGAUGAUCAACGUGGAAAUCAAAUGAAUUAACAUGGCCAAACAGUUGGGUGCUGGAUGGUGUGUGCAUCAAGACAAACGAUCCCUACAAAGCAGGCUAAGGGGACUCCAUGAUGCCAAGCCAGUAAGAGGAGUUUUGAAGGGUCUAGGCAGAUACCGAAAUAGGCAAAAUGUCCCAUCGGCUCCUCUCCAUCCAAAUCUCCUCAUCCAAAGAAAGAGAAAGAGGGAGGCCUGCAAGUGAGGAAAAGAAAUGAACUGUCCAUUCUUCUCCAUCUGCCCCAUUUCCAAGAAUAUCUUAGGGGCUGAUUCUGAUUCAAACUAUGGCAACAUAAAGUACGAUGGGCGUCCCUGAGAUGUAAUAACCUGCCAGACCACAAUCACAAGCUGUUCCAUCCAUAUCGGUCACGGAGACUAAGUGAGUAAUCUGCCAAAGAUACAGGAAGCUAGGAGUGAGAUGCCAUAUCUAACUUCCAGUGCUAAUGGACGCUAAAUAAUUUUAGAUUUCUUUUUUUUUUUUCAGUUUUGUAAAUGGCCAAGCCUUUCAUAAUUGGCCUAUUACUUGGCCAAUUCCAGACCUACAUAAAGAAAUGUGCAUGUGUGUUUUCUGCAAGAAAUUUUUAAUAAUCUUUCCUGAUCAAAAUUUGUAAGGAUACUGCAAAAGCUUUCAUUUUGGAGAACUUAAUUACUAGCACUAUAGUGACUAUUAUUGCCCGGGUCUCACAUAUCCUCAAGUCUGUCCAUUAAACAUCUGAAACAACACUUAUUUAAAAUAUUCCAUACCCUCAUUUCUAACUUGCUAUGCUGUUUCCUUUUUCUUUUAUUCCUUAAACUUUCAUCCUUUUAAUAGGAAAUAAUUGUAUAAUUCAUAUUCAGUUUUCUGCAUGUAGGGGUUUUUUCCAAAUUAAAAAUAGAAAAAUUAAAAAUUAAAGUAUGGUUGGAUGAAAGGCUGCCUCAAGCCCAUUUGCCAUUAAUGGGUUUGACCUCAGGAAAAAUGAAGACAAAACCACUUUUAGUGCAUCAAUUGCAAAUUGUUGAUGCCAGC